rnacentral:lncRNA from 1 species
UUUUCAGACAAAAUGCCCUUGGGUUUUGAGGGGUCGCAGUGUGAAGGAAACAAAGUGUUUCUGUCUCACGAAAUACCAUCCAAUUCAUGAAUGUGAUCUUAGGUCUAUCACCAAUCCACGUCCUAAAGUUGCAAUAUUAUGGACGCGCAAUAUGAAUUUGGUAUGAAAAUAAGCUAUGCCACAGCUUGGAGGAUCAAUGAAUGCGC